rnacentral:tRNA from 1 species
UCUAACGUUUCGCAGUGGCUAGGAUUUGCCGCUCUCAACGGAACACAACGCUCAUUGCGCGCCGGCAAGGCCGGGGUUCGAUUCCCCGUGUUGGAA